CUCUGGACAUUUUUCUGUGUUCCGGUGCUCCCUCACAUGGCUGAAUCACAGAGGAUAGCACUCGCUUCCUGCUACUGGAUCUUCACGGCAGGACAGAUGAAGAGCCCCAGCCCUAGCAGAUGGGCCUGGAUGGAGCAGGCAGAGAAUGACACCUUUAUCCUCACUGUAUAGAUAAUAAAAUGUGAGUCUUCACUUGGUCCCGUUAUAGCCUGAUUUUUCUCCUGGAGGGUUGGCAAAUCGCUUGCUUGGCACUGACUGCAUCUGUUCGCUUUUGAAAUUAAGCAAGUGCAUUUCCUCAUGCCCAUUCUUAGGAGGCCUUAGAGAAGUGGGGAAAAGGAGGAAACUGAGGCACAGAGAGCUAAAGCGUAUAAGUGAACACAUACCUGGUGGACCGCUUCCUCCUUCCAGGCCCCUGGCAGGCAAUGGUCACUAUUCAGUCACUGCACUCCUCCCCGUGACGCCAGAGCUGUGAGCAGCACGCAGCAGGGCCUGCAGGUUUUCCCCUCCAGCUGCUCUGUGCCUGCCGGUCCUUCCCUGGGUGCUUGAGCAAGGAGCCCGAGAGGAUGGGCCAAGAGCAGGAAAGAAGGGUCCCUGGAAAAUAUAAUGCCUGCUCCAAGCCUUCCUUGGGACAGCUGUAUGCUGCUCAGUGUGACCUCUUGUGCCCCAGCAGGCCAACCUAGAACGGUCUGUCCUCAGAGAGAUGGAGAGAAGACGCAAAGCUUAAGGCACAGGUGUAACAGAGUCACGUGGCGGAGGGUGUGGAUACUGGAGGAGAAGGAGAAUUGUGCGCAUUUCUGCACUCAGCCCACCAAAGUAGCCAGUGAAGCUACUAAGAAGUUUACAAGGAGUCGUGAGACUCUUGGAGGAAGGUAAAGGAGAAAAGACACCAUGCAGAGGAGUCCUGGGAUGGUCAUCCCCACUCGUUGAGUGCCCUAGAGCUGUGGUCUCCCAGGAGGGUUCUGUGAAGCCCUGGGGCAUGGAGUGGUUUCUUGGGACUACGAAGGAAAUGGGUGUGUGUAAGUGUGAGGAACUUUGGCUCCCCGCCCUAACUGGGGUAGCUCUGGUCUCUCUCUCUCUCUCUGGAGGUUUCCUUUGGAGAAAGAUCAUGCAGCUUUGAAAAAAAAUCUGAAGUCUAUGGGACCACAUCAACCUUUUAACCUCCUAGAAGAGGCAACGGUCUACCCAAUGUGGCUCAGCAGUGGAGGGUCCUGGCUGAUAUUGGAACCCAUCCGUUGGCCCACCAUUCUAUCCAAGGGGAAUUCUCCUACCUGACUCUUUCCCUGGGUUCAGGAUGGUAGAGAAUUUCUACAGUAUGAUGGAUGGGGGAAACUGAGGUAAAUCAGAAGGGAUGUUUCUGACAUAUUACUGCUUCAGUUCUCAACCUCGCUAACCAAGACCCUUCAGAGUCCAUAAGCCCUAAGCCUUAAUAACACGUGCUCCAUCCUACACAUACACACACACACACACACACACACACACACACACACACACACACAAACGUCCUCACAGGAUGGUUCCUAUAACUAUUGGACUCCAGAACCACAGACAAUUCAGGGCAUGCUAUUGGUCAUAGGUAGGGGUGAUGAAUCACCUUGGGGACAGAGCAGGGCGAGACUGGUAGAGCUGAUCCUGUGAGGACAGAUGGUGCCCUGUCUCAGAAGAAAGCUCACUCAGAAGAAAGAAGGCCUGGUUUGCUUGGAGGCUGUGAUCUCCUUGUUCUCCUCCCAGUGUGUUAAUUCCAUUUCUUCCCAACAAAGAUUUUUUUAGGACAGGGGGUAUUUAUAGCUCCUCCUAAGCCGUUUUCAGUCUGUUUCCUGUUCAAGUACUGCAUUAGUCACCAGAGAGUGUCUCAGGCAAUCUCCUCUCCCCGCCUGAUCCACAGGGAACAUGGGGAUGCUGGUCAGAAUGAGGGCAGAUCCCAGUGGAAGUGGUCAGGGGAGACAGGAGACUGGCUGGGGAGAUGAAGGAGAGUACCUCUUGGCCCCCAGCCUCUGUGGCAUAAAGCCCCGAGUCUUUAUGGCUUCCUAGAGUCUUGAUGCUUAGUCCUCAGAGACUCAGAAACUGCAGAGGCACCUCUGUUUGCCCGCAUAUUUUUCCCAUUACUUGAUGACCUAUUUGCAUGCAGCUCCUUGCAGAGAAUUUCCUCCUGAGCCAUAUACGGUGAUUUCAUUGCACCACAAACGGAGGCGUCUACUGCAGCCAGCAAUCAAGGCUCCUUCCUGCUCCCUGCUGCUAUCCUCACCUCCCUCCACCCCUUUACUAUAGAUUUCCCAGACUGCUCUGCCCCCUUCAAGCUCAGUUCUCCCCGCACAUAGGUGGUCCUAAAACUUGACCAGCUUCCUCUGAUGAUCUGAGCUGAGUCCUUGUACCCACAGGUCCAAGGAGCAGUGAGGGAGAAGGAACUUCAGGCCAGGGAAUGGUAAAGGAGGCAGAAACUAGCCCACUAUGGUCUUUUGCCUUCUCCCCAUGCCUUUGCUGAUUCUGUUUUUGGCCUGGAAUUCAUCUCUGGACCAUGGUGAAUGCACCAAGGAAUCCAUUGCUGGAAAUCUCCAGCGAACACCAACAUUUCUUAAUGGCCCCUGGCCUCCUUGAGCAUGUCGAUUAACCUUUACUAAUAACUAGUGAAGGAGUUGAGUGCUGGGUUUCUGACCCUGAACUGUCUAGGGACGGCAGAGAAAGAUGGAGAGAAGUUGGAAGUUCUGUUUGCAUAGUGUCACCAGGUGGCCUACAUCCCAGAGAUGGAGAGCUUUCCAAACAGAGAGUCUGAGAACCUCAGAGGUGACUGAUCCUAGGUUGUCCUUGGUGACAAUGGCCUUCUCAGUCCCAACCUCAAGGUUUCCCAAUUCAGAGCAAAGAGCAUGUAACGCCAGCUGGUCAGGGAACACCUCCGUGCCAGGCUGCCUGCUGCGUACUGUGGAAACAAGCACUCAGAAAUAGCCUUGGUGAGAAGGUGCACGAACUAAUGCCACCUUUGGUCCUGCUCAGAGCUGGCAUGCAUACCAGCCCUGAGUGGAGGAAGUGGAGGAAAUCAGGCAUGAGACACGUAUACCAGUGCCAGCCAGGCCCAGGCAUCACAGGGCUGCUCCUGAGCUGUGAUGCACACCUACAAUCUGGCCCAACUAUUUCUAUUUCCAUUCAGUUUCAGUCCUAUGAAAGUCAUUACAGACUGUCUCCCCACAGAGCACACUCAAUUACACCCUUGGGAGGGUGAGAGCCCAGAAGACGCCAUUGGGGAUGGCUGAGUCAGGUUUAGUCAAGGGUGAGCUUGCUUCAGCUAGAGCUAGAGGCCUUGAGACUCAUUUCCAGGGCACGGGGGAUAUCCAGGAGCAGGGUGGGGAUGAGAGCACCAAGCAGAGAACUUCUUUCUUUGAAACCACAGUGGUGGCUUGUGAAUCUAAGCAAUCUAAGCAUCUAAGAAUAACAUGUUCUCCGAUCUCCUCAUGAAGAGUCCCUCUCCUACUUCUACUUUUUAAUUCUGAAGAUCAAUGCAUAUAUUUUUAAAAAGUACAGAAAGCAUACAGAUUCUAUAAAGAACUGCAAAGCAAACACCCCUGGGCUACUGUCAUGAAAUGAAAUGCUGCCGGCAGUUGCAUGUCCCUUACACAUCCCCGUCCGGUUAUAUGCACUUCCUGUCUCUUAGGCAUCUGUGGUGUCAACUUCCUUUUUGUAUGGUUGUACCACCUCAGUUUGCAUCCUGAAAGAAAACACUUUACUUUAACUGCUUUGGGCUUUAAGUGAAUAGAAUCAUGUUAUAGAGUUUCUGGGUAUGUUGCUUCUUUGCUCAGUUAUGUUUAAGAGAUUUACCCAUGUCACUGUGUACUGUUGUUCUGCAUUAAUUCCAUCUUUAUGACUGCAUUGCAUUUCAAGUGUUCCAGGUGUACUUAUUGGUCCUACUGCUGAUGAAGACCUGGGCUGUUUUCAGGUUUGGACUGUUACAAGCAAUCCCAUGGGAGUGUCCUUGACAUAUGCAUCCUGGUACCAAUGUGCACAUUUUCUCCAGGGUUGAUACCUAAGAGUGGAGUUGUUGGGCUAGCUAGAUAAUACAUGGUUUCCCCAGGGCUUGCACUACUUUUGCCCUCUCUCUCUGUUGGUCCUGCAGCUGACACUUGAGAGAGGAAGCCCUGAGGUCAGAGCUGCUGAACCUACACAGAAGCUUUAGGAAGAACAACUCCUGCUGAGAAGCCCAUCCGUGUGUGCUUUUGCCCCUUUUCCUGCACCAUUGUUCAGGCCUCUGCUAUUGCAUCUCCCACCACUAAGUUCAGUGUAUGCUUUCUCUAGGGCUCAGCUCACUGUGGUUCCCAGGCUCACCUGAUCAA